GACGAACGCUGGCGGCGUGCUUAAUACAUGCAAGUCAACUGAACUUAAGGUAGUAAUACUUUAAGGGAGGUGGCGCACGGGUGAGUAACACGUAGGUAAUCUGCCUUUAGGUCUGACAUAACCCCGAGAAAUACGGGGCGUAAUUUACUAGAUGAUGCAGCGGCUCGACAUCGAGACAGUUGUUAAAUACUUCGGAGACCUAAAGAAUGAGCCUGCGUCUGAUUAGGUUA
rnacentral:rRNA from 1 species